UGAUAGAUGUGAGCACAUGACUGCCGAGU
rnacentral:piRNA from 1 species